AGUGGAGUGGUGAAAGAGUGAACUGUGGACUGGGAGAAAGCAUUGCUAUUAUCAGAUCUAGCUAAGUUCCUGCAAAUCCCAGCAUUUCCUGCAAAUCCCAGCAGCUCUGGCACUUACAGCAGCACAGACUUACCUGGUUUGCAUUGCUCUGUAACACUGCUGGCCAGUACUUCUGAACUGAAAGUGAAAAUGCAGUGUUUGCUGCAUUUUGAUUACACUUAAUGAUGGGAGGAGCCGGCUUUUUCUCUGAGAUCAUUGACUUCUCAUUUCCUCUGGAAGAGGAAUGAUUUGGGAUCUGGAAAAGUUGCACAGGCACUUGGAGAAGGGAAGAGGCAUGAAGGAGUCCUUGGACACAGCUUCUGAGGGAGAAGACUGAGGGAGAAGCCUGCCCUGGCACUGGGGAGGAUCUGGGAGAGCUCCAGCCCUGCUGGAGCUGAGCCCCCUGGGCAUCCUCAUGGACUCUCCCCACCUCCUGCACUUGGGUUUCCUGCUCCUGGCUCUUGCUGCUCCCCAUCCAAUUAUUGCCAUGUCCAGUGCUGGCCCUGCUAACAGGACACAAGGCAGAAUUACAACAGUCUACUACUGCAAGGACUAUAAAUACUGCACGUGCAAAAAAGACCAAAAUGAUUUAAAAGCCUUUACAAGAAUUGCCGAAAUACAAAACAAGAGAAAUACUAUUUCAGAUGUACCAGUUGAGUUGGUGAAGAACAAAUCACACAUCACUGUUUGCUUUGAGCAUGCAGAUUCCUCUCCUGAAGGAAUGUAUGGCCUCUACUCGGACGAAACUGGUCAACCAAAAAUCUGGUGUGGCAACCUGAAUUCUGGAGGAAAUGGAGAAGAUACUAAGGAGAAGAAUGUUUGCUGUGAAGCAGAGGCAGUUGCCUGGAAUCACAACUCUCACCUGAAGUGCUACAUUCAAAAGUCACUUCCAAAACCCACAUCACUGCCAAUUGCCAAUCCUGAUGAGGAAAUGCUAGGUUAUCCUGAAUUUCUCAUCAGCAAGAGCAGCUCUGGCAUCUUGUUGGCAUUCCUGCUUGUUGGGGUUUGCACAGGAUGGGGCACCAUGUUUUACUUCUUGCGGCUGCGGCGUCGCCGAGCUUUUGAACAAGACAGUAUUCUGACAGAGAAAAGCUCACACAUUCAUGAUAUAACCAUGUCAAGGGAGAAAACUCCUCUGCCAGCAGCAUCCUCCUCCUCUCUCACGAUGUACAGCAACCAGCAGAACACAGACUGAUUUUCCAUGAAAACUCCAGCUGUAGUAUUCCCAAAUAGUCCUGUUUUCACAAAUGUAGCUUCACCACAUCCACACCUUCCCUGAGCACGGUGACUCUUGUCCAGCUCCAGGCCUUUGUGAGCAGCACAGGCAGCACCAAGAGCUCCAUCCUCUCCUGAUGCUUGGCUGCAGAGAGCAGGAAGCCCAGAGUGUGGGGCUGACUCAGCAGCACAGGCUGAAAGCAGCUGAAUUCUCUCUGUGACAAAGUGGGAACAGCUCUGGAGCACUUCCCGUGCCCUCUGCAUGCCUUUCACUCUGGAAUGCCACAGCAGCACCCGGGUGCCUGUAUUGUUUUAAUUCUCAGGUCAGCUCUGCAUUCACCAAAGCUUUUCUAUCACCAGCUGGCUGGUAGGUUGAACUGGAAAAGUUGGGAUGAGAUAUUUGAUUUUGCCCCCACCUGCAGACUGAGUCUGAAUGUUUGUUCCUGUGCAGGGCUGGGUGGGAGGUUGUGUCCAGCUCUCUCAGGAAUGGCAUUGGGUCAUUCCCCAGUGCCAUUCCCAAGAGGCCUUGGUCUCCCCCCAGGCUGAACAGAACUCUGACAUCAAUCUUCCUGACAAAUUAGCCAGUUUAGACAGUGUGAGAUGAGUACAGCCCCUCAGGAAUCCCACUGGGUACUUGGUAUCCUUAAAUCAUUCCCCAUUCCCACUUGAUUUGAGUAAAUCCUCAGCUUUUGCAUUGGAUCUAAUAGUCUUUAGUAUCAAGACUCUUGAUCAAAAAUCAGUGGCAGCACAAGGGGAGAAACAAAUCCCUAAAGCAAUAUGAAUGUUUGCUGAAUCACUGUCCUUUUGUCCUUAAACACAAGCACACACACAGACAGCUCUUGGCUCUUUUCUCCUUUGAUUGACUAGAUUUUGUUUGUAGCUUGUUUUUUCCUUAAUGUGCCUUAACCAUGCAGUCAGUAGCAGAGUGAACCUUGGCAACAAACUCUGUUGUGCUGGUGCUUAAUAUCAAAUCUGGAUUC
rnacentral:lncRNA from 1 species